rnacentral:rRNA from 1 species
GUGGGACGAAGAGCGAAGGGUUAAUAGCCCCCAGCCUGACGGUACCCUUCGAGAAGCCCGGGCUAUCUACGUGCCAGCAGCCGCGGUAAUACGUAGGGGGCGAGCGUUGUCGGAAUUAUUGGGCGUAAAGAGCGUGUAGGCGGUUCGGUAAGUCUGCCGUGAAAACUGAGGCUCAACCCCGGGCGUGCGGUGGAUACUGCCGGGCUAGAGGGUGGUAGAGGCGAGUGGAAUUCCCGGUGUAGCGGUGAAAUGCGCAGAUAUCGAGAGGAACACCAGUAGCGAAGGCGGCUCGCUGGGCCAUUCCUGACGCUGAGACGCGAAAGCUAGGGGAGCGAACAGGAUUAGAUACCCUGGUAGUCCUAGCCGUAAACGAUGAACACUAGGUGUGGGGGGAGUCGAAUCCUCCUGUGCCGCAGCCAACGCGUUAAGUGUUCCGCCUGGGGAGUACGGCCGCAAGGCUAAAACUCAAAAGAAUUGACGGGGGCCCGCACAAGCAGCGGAGCAUGUUCUUUAAUUCGAUGCAACGCGAAGAACCUUACCUGGGCUUGACAUGGUGCUGCAAGCGCACGGAAACGUGUGACCUUCGAGGGUGCACCACAGGUGCUGCAUGGCUGUCGUCAGCUCGUGUCGUGAGAUGUUGGGUUAAGUCCCGCAACGAGCGCAACCCCCGUCGCAUGUUGCCAGCAUUUAGUUGGGGACUCAUGCGAGACUGCCGGUGACAAACCGGAGGAAGGUGGGGAUGACGUCAAGUCAUCAUGCCCCUUAUGUCCAGGGCUACACACGUGCUACAUUGGCGCGUACAGAGGGCUGCGAUACCGCGAGGUGGAGCGAAUCCCUUAAAGCGCGUCUCGGUUCGGAUUGGAGGUUGAAACUCGCCUCCAUGAAGGCGGAGUUGCUAGUAAUCGCGGAUCAGCAUUGCCGCGGUGAAUACGUUCCCGGG